rnacentral:rRNA from 1 species
GACGAACGCUGGCGGCGUGCCUAAUACAUGCAAGUCGAGCGCAGGAAGCCGUCCGAACCCUUCGGGGGGACGACGGUGGAAUGAGCGGCGGACGGGUGAGUAACACGUAAAGAACCUGCCCAUAGGUCUGGGAUAACCACGAGAAAUCGGGGCUAAUACCGGAUGUGUCAUCGGACCGCAUGGUCCGAUGAUGAAAGGCGCUUCGGCGUCGCCCAUGGAUGGCUUUGCGGUGCAUUAGCUAGUUGGUGGGGUAACGGCCCACCAAGGCGACGAUGCAUAGCCGACCUGAGAGGGUGAUCGGCCACACUGGGACUGAGACACGGCCAAGACUCCUACGGGAGGCAGCAGUAGGGAAUCUUCCACAAUGGGCGAAAGUCUGAUGGAGCAACGCCGCGUGAACGAUGAAGGCUUUCGGGUCGUAAAGUUCUGUUGUAAGGGAAGAACAAGUGCCGCAGGCAAUGGCGGCACCUUGACGGUACCUUGCGAGAAAGCCACGGCUAACUACGUGCCAGCCGCCGCGGUAA